AGAGUUUGAUCCUGGCUCAGAUUGAACGCUGGCGGCAUGCCUAACACAUGCAAGUCGAACGGAAACGAUGGGAGCUUGCUCCCAGGCGUCGAGUGGCGGACGGGUGAGUAAUACUUAGGAAUCUACCCAGUAGCGGGGGACAACUCGAGGAAACUCGAGCUAAUACCGCAUACGCCCUACGGGGGAAAGCAGGGGAUCUUCGGACCUUGCACUAUUGGAUGAGCCUAAGUCGGAUUAGCUUGUUGGUGAGGUAAAGGCUCACCAAGGCAACGAUCCGUAGCUGGUCUGAGAGGACGAUCAGCCACACUGGGACUGAGACACGGCCCAGACUCCUACGGGAGGCAGCAGUGGGGAAUAUUGGACAAUGGGGGCAACCCUGAUCCAGCAAUGCCGCGUGUGUGAAGAAGGCCUGCGGGUUGUAAAGCACUUUCAGUAGAGAAGAAAAGCCUACGGUUAAUACCCGUGAGUCUUGACGUUACCUACAGAAGAAGCUCCGGCUAACUCCGUGCCAGCAGCCGCGGUAAUACGGAGGGAGCGAGCGUUAAUCGGAAUUACUGGGCGUAAAGCGCGCGUAGGCGGCUUUGUAAGUCG
rnacentral:rRNA from 1 species